GAGGGUAUCUCUCAGUGGUAGAGUGCAUGCUUAGCAAGCAUGAGGUCCUGGGUUCAAGUCCCAGUACCUCCA
rnacentral:tRNA from 1 species